rnacentral:rRNA from 1 species
AUUGAACGCUGGCGGCAGGCCUAACACAUGCAAGUCGAGCGAGCGGCGGACGGGGGAGUAAUAUAUGGGGGCUGCCCGAUAUAGGGGGAUAAAUCCUGGAAACGGUAGCUAAUACCGCAUACUAUCGGAUAACCCAUAUGGGAUUAGCUAGUGGGUGGGGUAAUGGCUCACCUAGGCGACGAUCCCUAGCUGGUCUGAGAGGAUGAUCAGCAACACUGGGACUGAGACACGGCCCAGAUUCCUACGGAGGCAGCAGUGGGGAAUAUUGCACAAUGGGCGCAAGCCUGAUGCAGCCAUGCCGCGGGUAUGAAGAAGGCCCUAGGGUUGUAAAGUACUUUCAGUCGGGAGGCGUUACCGACAGAAGAAGCACCGGCUAACUCCGUGCCAGCAGCCGCGGUAAUUC